GGGACACGUGGUAUCCUGUCUGAAUAUGGGGGGACCAUCCUCCAAGGCUAAAUACUCCUGACUGACCGAUAGUGAACCAGUACCGUGAGGGAAAGGCGAAAAGAACCCCGGCGAGGGGAGUGAAAAAGAACCUGAAACCGUGUACGUACAAGCAGUGGGAGCACGCUUAGGCGUGUGACUGCGUACCUUUUGUAUAAUGGGUCAGCGACUUAUAUUCUGUAGCAAGGUUAACCGAAUAGGGGAGCCGAAGGGAAACCGAGUCUUAACUGGGCGUUAAGUUGCAGGGUAUAGACCCGAAACCCGGUGAUCUAGCCAUGGGCAGGUUGAAGGUUGGGUAACACUAACUGGAGGACCGAACCGACUAAUGUUGAAAAAUUAGCGGAUGACUUGUGGCUGGGGGUGAAAGGCCAAUCAAACCGGGAGAUAGCUGGUUCUCCCCGAAAGCUAUUUAGGUAGCGCCUCGUGAAUUCAUCUCCGGGGGUAGAGCACUGUUUCGGCAAGGGGGUCAUCCCGACUUACCAACCCGAUGCAAACUGCGAAUACCGGAGAAUGUUAUCACGGGAGACACACGGCGGGUGCUAACGUCCGUCGUGAAGAGGGAAACAACCCAGACCGCCAGCUAAGGUCCCAAAGUCAUGGUUAAGUGGGAAACGAUGUGGGAAGGCCCAGACAGCCAGGAUGUUGGCUUAGAAGCAGCCAUCAUUUAAAGAAAGCGUAAUAGCUCACUGGUCGAGUCGGCCUGCGCGGAAGAUGUAACGGGGCUAAACCAUGCACCGAAGCUGCGGCAGCGACGCUGAUGCGUUGUUGGGUAGGGGAGCGUUCUGUAAGCCUGCGAAGGUGUGCUGUGAGGCAUGCUGGAGGUAUCAGAAGUGCGAAUGCUGACAUAAGUAACGAUAAAGCGGGUGAAAAGCCCGCUCGCCGGAAGACCAAGGGUUCCUGUCCAACGU
rnacentral:rRNA from 1 species